rnacentral:rRNA from 1 species
GUGGGGAAUCUUCCGCAAUGGACGAAAGUCUGACGGAGCAACGCCGCGUGAGUGAAGAAGGUUUUCGGAUCGUAAAGCUCUUUCGUUAGGGACGAACGUGCUCUUUGUGAAUAAUGAGGAGUAAUGACGGUACCUAAAUAAGAAGCCACGGCUAACUACGUGCCAGCAGCCGCGGUAAUACGUAGGUGGCAAGCGUUGUCCGGAAUUAUUGGGCGUAAAGCGCGCGCAGGCGGGAUAUCAAGUCUGUCUUAAAAGUGCGAGGCUCAACCUCGUGAGGGGACAGAAACUGGUAUUCUUGAGUGUCGGAGGGGAAAGUGGAAUUCCAAGUGUAGCGGUGAAAUGCGUAGAGAUUUGGAAGAACACCAGUGGCGAAGGCGACUUUCUGGACGAUGUCUGACGCUGAGGCGCGAAAGCUAGGGGAGCGAACGGGAUUAGAAACCCCGGUAGUCC